GAUGAACGCUAGCGGGAGGCCUAACACAUGCAAGCCGAGCGGUAUUGUUUCUUCGGAAAUGAGAGAGCGGCGUACGGGUGCGGAACACGUGUGCAACCUGCCUUUAUCUAGAGGAUAGCCUUUCGAAAGGAAGAUUAAUACUCUAUAAUAUAUUAAUUGGCAUCAAUUGAUAUUGAAAACUCCGGUGGAUAGAGAUGGGCACGCGCAAGAUUAGCUAGUUGGUGAGGUAACGGCUCACCAAGGCAAUGAUCUUUAGGGGGCCUGAGAGGGUGAUCCCCCACACUGGUACUGAGACACGGACCAGACUCCUACGGGAGGCAGCAGUGAGGAAUAUUGGUCAAUGGGUGCAAGCCUGAACCAGCCAUCCCGCGUGAAGGAUUAAGGUCCUAUGGAUUGUAAACUUCUUUUGUAUAGGGAUAAACCUACCCUCGUGAGGGUAGCUGAAGGUACUAUACGAAUAAGCACCGGCUAACUCCGUGCCAGCCGCCGCUGUAAAAC
rnacentral:rRNA from 1 species